rnacentral:lncRNA from 1 species
GUGGGUAUUUUGUACCCCUAAUUCUACUGUCGGACACUUGUCCAUUUUUACCUCUCGUCUCACUUUUUCUUUUCUUUCGAGGUUCCGGGCACUUGCCCCUUUUUAUUUCCUCGUACCUCUUUUUUUAGAGCACUCAUCUCAUGAGAUAAUGUAGCAAGUGGUAGUAACCAAGAUAACUUGAGCAUUUAUUUCAUAGGGGAAAAAUAGAAAUAUUUUUGGCUAUUCUCUCCCGGAUUAGGAGUAGAAUAUUUUUGGGUGGUUCUAGAUAUGGAAAUGGAUGGAUAUAUGUGGAUGCGUACUUCCGGAGUAGAAGUCGCAUGUGUGAGUGAACGUGUAAGUGAAUCUUGAUUUAACCACAGGACAAGCUCCUAAGGGUCUACACAGCUUGACCACACUUAAUGCUCAUAAGCAGUAAAUAGUAAAUGUGUGGCUCAAAGUCUAGCAAGCAUGUAUAUGUGGCUGUGGUAGGAAUUUAAACUCUCGUCAUACAGGAACUCAUCAUGCAAUACUUUAAAGAUUUUCAAAGAUAAAAUUCUCUAGAAUUCUAGCAUCUCUAGAAACAGAUAAAUAGCAGCUCAACAUUCUCGUAUCAUAUCCGUUAACAACUUAGACUUC